rnacentral:rRNA from 1 species
GUUUGAUCCUGGCUCAGGCACGAACGCUGGCGGCGUGCCUAACACAUGCAAGUCGAGCGGUCCGGCAGCCAACUUAAGUUGGGAGCCGGAUAGCGGCGGACGGGUGAGUAACGCGUGGGCAACCUACCCUUAAGACCGGGAUAACACCUCGAAAGGGGUGCUAAUACUGGAUAAGCUCCUUGUAGGGCAUCCUAUGAGGAGGGAAGGUAGCGGGAGCUACCGCUUAAGGAUGGGCCCGCGUCCCAUCAGCUAGUUGGUAGGGUAACGGCCUACCAAGGCGACGACGGGUAGCCGGCCUGAGAGGGUGGUCGGCCACACUGGGACUGAGACACGGCCCAGACUCCUACGGGAGGCAGCAGUGGGGAAUCUUGCGCAAUGGGCGAAAGCCUGACGCAGCGACGCCGCGUGAGCGAGGAAGGCCUUCGGGUCGUAAAGCUCGAUAGUGUGGGAAGAAGGGAUGACGGUACCACACGAAAGCCCCGGCUAACUACGUGCCAGCAGCCGCGGUAAGACGUAGGGGGCGAGCGUUGUCCGGAAUUACUGGGCGUAAAGGG